CAGCAGCCGCGGGAAUACGAAGGGUGCAAGCGUUACUCGGAAUUACUGGGCGUAAAGCGUGUGUAGGUGGUUGUUUAAGUCUGUCGUGAAAGCCCUGGGCUCAACCUGGGAAUUGCGAAGGAUACUGGGCGACUAGAGUGCGGUAGAGGAUAGUGGAAUUUCCGGUGUAGCAGUGAAAUGCGUAGAGAUCGGAAGGAACAUCUGUGGCGAAGGCGACUAUCUGGGCCAACACUGACACUGAGACACGAAAGCGUGGGGAGCGAACAGGAUUAGAUACCCGUGUAGUCCCUGUCUCUUAUAA
rnacentral:rRNA from 1 species